CUAUUUAUUCAUAGGAUACAUUGAUAUGGAGCACGAUUUUCUUCGACUGUAUUAUACAAUUACUUGAUUUUCAUUUAAUCACUAUACUUGGUAGCACUUGCUUUAGGUUCAGAAUCGUACUUGGUAUUUGACCUGGAUGCAAAGUCAUCAUACUUGCUAAUAUUUGGUCUCGGUUCAAAAUCAUCGUUUUUGGUAAUGCUUGAUUUGAGUUCUAAAUCAUCAUAUUUGGUAACACUUGGUCUCGAUUCAAAAUCAUCAUUCUCGGUAACGCUUGACCUGAGUUCAAAGUCAUCAUACUUGCUAAUAUUUGGUCUCGGUUCAAAAUCAUCAUUCUCGGUAACGCUUGACCUGAGUUCAAAAUCAUCAUAUUUGGUAGCACUUGGUCUCGGUUCAAAAUCAUUGUUCUUGGUAACGCUUGACUUGAGUUCAAAAUCAUCAUACUUAGUAACACUUGGUCUCGAUUCAAAAUCAUCGUUCUUGAUAAUGCUUGACUUGAAUUCCAAAUCAUCAUAUUUGGUAACACUUGGUAUGGGUUCGAAGUCACUGUUAACUUGUGUAUUUGUAACUAGAGACUCUUCACAAUGGUUUUUGGAACCUUUACCAAGCUGCUCUUGAGUCUUAGGGUUAUUUUCAGAUUGAAAUGAAACAAGACCUUGAAGUCCUUCUGGCAUUUCCUGAUCUUUCAUGAUCAUUUUCCAAUAUUCCCCUGGAUCUUUUCUUGAUUCCGUAGUGGCAGCUAACUUCUCCACAAAAUUUGCGCAUAUAGAGAAAAUUAACAAAAAGGGAAACGUUUGUCAAAAUGUUAUCUCCAUGCCUAACUAACCCAAGAUGCCCAUGCACAAUAUAAUUUCAAACUAAUACUAGAUAAUUCGAUCAAAAUGCCAAUAGUAGAGUUGAAAACUAUAUUAGAUUAAAGUUUUAACCGAUUCUACAAAUAAUCAUGAUUUUUUACACCCUUUUCUUAUACUAUAUUCUUACACUUUAUAAACAUUGGUGAAAAGAUUUUUACCAUAAAAAAACGCGUAAAGCAAGGUAGUUGAGAUUCAAGCAUAAGUAGUGUAAUAAAAAAAUGUGAUAGGAUAUUUAUCAUUUAGAAGUAGGGAAGCAAAUAUUAAAAAGAACCUUGGACUACAUGACGUUUGAAUAGUUUAGCAUUAUAAAUAAAUAAUUUUGGCAAGACAUUCUGAUUUCUCCUCAUUUUGUCAAGCUUAUUUAGAUUCCUUCACCCCCCUAAUACUGAUAAAUUAAACGUAUCCAUUUAAAUCCCUAAAUACUGUGAGGAAUGGAAAAUAACUAAAUAAUAUCAAGAGAAGGAAAGAUAAUAAAAAUUGUGAUACAAUGGAAGGUGAACAUACCAAGAAAGCAAAUAGAAGAGGAAGCAAAGCAAGAGCAGGCCUCAUUGUCAAUUCAAUAAUAUAUAGAACGCCUCUCGC
rnacentral:lncRNA from 1 species